GGGGUUGUGGCUCAGUGGUACAGCGCUUGCCUCACUGCAUGGGGCACUGGGUUUGAUCCUCAGCACCACA
rnacentral:tRNA from 1 species